GUUCUCCGCUGCACAAACAAACUCUGUCUCUGUCUCUUGAGAGAGCAAAAAUCUUUCAUUGCUUAAACUCUCCAUAUUUUACUUCACACUCAACCAAAGAAAAGUAACACGCGUCAACACACUUUCCUUAUAAAAACUUAAACAAAUGCCCCUACUUUUUCAUUGCUUCCGGCACCAAAGUCCAAACCCCAACACCUUCCUCAGUCCUCACUUAGCACUCUCCCAAAAUAUUAUUAUUAUUUUAUUAAAGAUUUUAUUCCCUAAAAUAUUCCAUUGACUCACAUGAACUUCUCACUCAAAAAAAAAUCCUACAAAUCCCACAACUCUUACAAACACCUCAAAAAGCUCUCCGCCGAUAAAUCCAACCAUGGCCACGAACACCUCCCUAUCCUCGACUCAAUGCGAGCCGUUGAUUUGUCUGACCACCCCAGCCACAGCCACAGCCACCGCGAAGAAGUCAUUGUCAAGAUCUACGACGGAGAUUCCUCGGCGACCAAAGCCUCUGCAACUACUGGCGCCAAGAUUUGGAGAGAGAAUAGUUACGAGUUUUGGAAAGACCAAGCCAAGUCGGGUUUUGAUUUCGUGCGACAAGGCAGCGGCAGCGGAAGCGGCGGCGGCCAGAAUAGUAAUACGGUGGCGGCGGCGGAGGAGGAGAAAGAUCCACCGUCCAAAUUGAUCAAGCAGUUCUUGCACAAGCAAGAGGCUUCGGGCAAGAUGGCGUUGGAUAUGGAUUUGGAAAUGGACGAGCUCCGCCACGAAAACGACAGGAAAUUGCCUCCCGUUUCCGAGUCCCCCUUCAAAGCGACACCCUCGAGGGAGCUCCGGGUGUCGUUUCAAGAAUCCGAAUUUUCAACCCCCACCCCCAACAAAAACAACGACUCAGUACGACGCCGUUUUAGCAGCGACGACAACAGCAACAGCAACAGCAACAAGAACAACUACAACAAUGACGGGGUGACGUGGACGUCAAACACGUCGGUUCAGAGGAAAUCGAGAUUGUUGAGAGCGAAAAAUCAGUCGAGAUUGAUGGACCCGCCGCCCGCUGAAAUGGAAAAGCGGUCGGGUCGGGAGCCCGGGUCGGGUCAGGUCCGAUCCGGGAUGUUGAAGAAAAUGGACGACGAAGACGACGACCCGUUUUUGGAAGAUGAUAUGCCGAACGAGUUCAGAUGUGGGAAUGUAAAUGCAUGGACUAUUUUGCAGUGGCUGAGCUUGGUUGUGAUUAUAGGAGCUUUGGCUUGCACGCUUGGCAUACAUGACUUGUGGCACAAGAAUGUGUGGAAAUUGAGACUGUGGAAAUGGGAAGUCUUGGUUUUGGUUUUGAUUUGUGGGAGAUUGGUUUCUGGGUGGGGUAUUAGGAUUAUAGUGUUUUUUAUUGAAAGGAAUUUCCUUUUGCGUAAAAGGGUGCUUUACUUUAUAUAUGGGGUGAGAAACCCUGUGCAGAAUUGUCUUUGGUUGGGACUUGUUUUGAUGGCUUGGCAUUUUUUGUUUGAUAAGAAGGUUGAGAGGGAGACGAAGAGUGAUAAGCUUAAGUAUUUUACUAAGUUUUUGGUUUGUAUGUUGGUGGGUACUUUUGUUUGGUUGGUUAAGACACUUGUGGUUAAGGUUUUAGCUUCGUCUUUCCAUGUGAGUACUUAUUUCGAUAGGAUUCACGAGUCUUUGUUUAAUCAGUAUGUGAUCGAGACAUUGUCCGGGCCGCCUUUGAUUGAGAUACAGAACGCGGAGGAUGAUGAGUUUAAUUUUGUUGAUGAGGUUAGGCAGUUGCAAAAUGCAGGUGCUACUAUGCCUCCGGAUUUGAAGGCAAGUGCUCCUAUGCCCCCGGAUUUGAAGGCGAAUGCUUUUCCUUCGAUGAGGAGUGGAAGGGUUAUUGGGAGUGGUGGGCUGCAGAUGAGUGGGAACUUGUCAAGGACAAUGUCGAAGAAGGGGGAUGAGGGGAUAACUAUUGAUCUUUUACAUAAGUUGAAUCCUAAGAAUGUGUCUGCGAGGAAUAUGAAGAGGUUGAUGAGGAUUGUGAGGCAUGGGACAAUUACCACAUUGGAUGAGCAGGUAUUGGAAACUACCCCUUCUGGGGACAAUGAUUUUUCUACGCAGAUUAGGAGUGAAGUUGAGGCGAAAGCCGCAGCAAAGAAAAUAUUUCAGAAUGUUGCUAGGCACGAGUCCAAGUUCAUCUACAUGGAGGACUUGAUGCGUUUCUUGAAAGAAGAUGAGGCUGUGAAAACCUUGAGUCUCUUUGAAGGAGCCUCUGAGACCAGGAGAAUCAGUAAAUCAUCCUUGAAGAACUGGGUGGUCAAUGCCUUCAGAGACCGAAGAGCACUCACUUUGACGUUGAAUGAUACCAAAACAGCCGUGAACAAGCUUCAUCGAGUGCUGAACAUUCUAGUUGGCCUUGGCAUAUUUGUGGUUUGGCUUCUGAUAUUGGGAAUUGCCACAACCAAAUUUCUUCUCUACAUAAGCUCUCAGCUCGUCCUCGUUGCAUUUAUUUUUGGAAACACCUGCAAGACAGUAUUUGAAGCAAUCAUCUUCUUAUUUGUAAUGCAUCCAUAUGAUGUUGGAGAUAGGUGUGAAAUUGAAGGGGUUCAGAUGGUUGUAGAAGAAAUGAACAUCUUGACUACUGUAUUUCUGAGAUAUGACAAUACAAAGGUCAUUUACCCAAACAGUGUUCUUGCUACUAAGCCCAUCAAUAACUUCUAUCGUAGUCCCGACAUGGGAGAUGCCAUUGACUUCUGUGUCCAUAUAGCAACACCUGCAGAUAAGAUUGCAGCUAUGAGGCAAAGAAUAAUUAGUUAUGUUGAGAGCAAGGAGGAGCACUGGUGUGCUGCACCUAUGAUUGUAUUGAUGGAGUUUGAAGAGUUAAACAGACUGAGGUUGGCCUUGUGGCUGUCACACAAAAUGAACUACCAAGACAUGGGUGAGAAGUUUGUAAGGAGAUCUCUUUUGAUGGAAGAGAUGGCUAAGAUUUUCCGUGAGCUUGACAUUCAAUACCGCCUGCUUCCAGUUGACAUUAAUGUCUGCGCCAUGCCUCCUGUGAUCUCUACCCAGCUUCCAACCACUAGGGUGGAAAAUACGCGUUUGAGUGAGGAAACAGGACACGGAACAGCUCAAAACUGCAUUGGAAAGGGAGGUUUUAAAACUUGAGAAAAGUUCGACAUAAAAAUGUUGUACAAUUCAUUGGUACCAAGCCUCCAAGCUUGUGCAUUAUAACAGAAUAUAUGCCCGGUGGAAGUGUGUAUGACUUUUUACAUAAACAAAAGGGAGUUUUCAAGCUUCCAUCCUUGAUCAGAGUAG